rnacentral:rRNA from 1 species
CCUACGGGAGGCAGCAGUGGGGAAUAUUGCACAAUGGGCGAAAGCCUGAUGCAGCAACGCCGCGUGAAGGAAGAAGGCUUUCUGCUCGUAAACUUCUAUCAACAGGGACGAAAGAAAUGACGGUACCUGAAUCAUAAGCCCCGGCUAACUACGUGCAAGCAGCCGCGGUAAGACGUAGGGGGCAAGCGUUAUCCGGAAUUACUGGGUGUAAGGGGAGAGUAGGCGGCAUGGUAAGCCAGAUGUGAAAGCCUUGGGCUUAACCCGAUGAUUGCAUUUGGAACUAUCAGGCUAGAGUACAGGAGAGGAAAGCGGAAUUCCUAGUGUAGCGGUGAAAUGCGUAGAUAUUAGGAAGAACACCAGUGGCGAAGGCGGCUUUCUGGACUGAAACUGACGCUGAGGCACGAAAGCGUGGGGAGCGAACAGGAUUAGAUACCCCUGUAGUC